GACGAACGCUGGCGGCGUGCUUAACACAUGCAAGUCGAGCGGUAAGGCCCUUUCGGGGGUACACGAGCGGCGAACGGGUGAGUAACACGUGGGUGACCUGCCCUCAGCUCUGGGAUAAGCCUGGGAAACCGGGUCUAAUACUGGAUAUGACUCCAUGACGCAUGUUGUGGGGUGGAAAGCCUUGUGCGGCUGAGGAUGGGCCCGCGGCCUAUCAGCUUGUUGGUGGGGUGAGGCCUACCAAGGCGACGACGGGUAGCCGGCCUGAGAGGGCGACUGGCCACACUGGGACUGAGACACGGCCCAGACUCCUACGGGAGGCAGCAGUGGGGAAUCUUGCGCAAUGGGCGAAAGCCUGACGCAGCGACGCCGCGUGAGGGAUGACGGCCUGG
rnacentral:rRNA from 1 species